UAGGGAAUAUUGGUCAAUGGGCGGGAGCCUGAACCAGCCAUGCCGCGUGCAGGAAGACGGCCUUCUGGGUUGUAAACUGCUUUUACCAGGGAACAAAAGGCCCAUGCGUGGGAGAUUGCGUGUACCUGGGGAAUAAGCACCGGCUAACUCCGUGCCAGCAGCCGCGGUAAUACGGAGGGUGCAAGCGUUGUCCGGAUUUAUUGGGUUUAAAGGGUGCGUAGGCGGCCUUUUAAGUCAGGGGUGAAAUCCCACGGCUCAACCGUGGAACUGCCCUUGAUACUGGAAGGCUCGAGUACGGUUGAGGUAGGCGGAAUUUAUGGUGUAGCGGUGAAAUGCAUAGAUACCAUAAAGAACACCGAUAGCGAAGGCAGCUUACUGGACCGUAACUGACGCUGAGGCACGAAAGCGUGGGGAGCGAACAGGAUUAGAUACCCCCGUAGUCC
rnacentral:rRNA from 1 species